rnacentral:misc_RNA from 1 species
CUUUCCACAUUUCAAGUAACCUAUUAACAACAUUGAGUAAGGUUAACUGCACUUAUUAUACCAUAUUUUUAUAAGAGAUUCAUGGUCAAUAAACUUAAUCCAAGUGGUAGUUGCAGACAAGCAGCAUCAGGAGUCACCUACAUUCUUGAGAUUUUCACACAAUCCAUUGUAGACCCAACAUGUAAACAUAUAGAAUAAGCUUGCAAAAUAAAUACGUUCAUGCAUAUUUCUGUUUUAAGUCUAUGAUAAA